rnacentral:rRNA from 1 species
CAGUAGCCGCGGGAAUACGUAGGGUGCGAGCGUUAAUCGGAAUUACUGGGCGUAAAGCGUGCGCAGGCGGUUCGUUAAGACAGAUGUGAAAUCCCCGGGCUUAACCUGGGAACUGCAUUUGUGACUGGCGAGCUAGAGUAUGGCAGAGGGGGGUAGAAUUCCACGUGUAGCAGUGAAAUGCGUAGAGAUGUGGAGGAAUACCGGUGGCGAAGGCGGCCCCCUGGACAAAGACUGACGCUCAGGUGCGAAAGCGUGGGGAGCAAACAGGAUUAGAUACCCCUGUAGUCCCUGUCUCUUAUAC